rnacentral:lncRNA from 1 species
AUGGUGAAGGUCGGUGUGAACAGAUUUGGCCGUAUUGGGCGCCUGGUUACCAGGGCUGCCUUCUGCUCUGCACUUGGCAAAGUGGAGAUUGUUGCCAUCAACAAUUCCUUCAUUGACCUCAACUACAUGGUCUACAUGUUCCAGUCUGACUCCACCCACGGCCAAUUCAACAGCACUGUCAAGGUUGAGAAUGGGAAGCUUGUCAUC